GGUAAAUUAGUAAUUCAAUAAAUAGUUUGGUAGUAGGGUGUACUUAAUUAAUUUUAGAGUUCGUUUAGUAGCACUCAAAAUAUAUGAUCAUCAGAUCCCAACUUUCAAGCCUAACUAGCGUUUAGUGUAGUGGGUGAGGAAAAAAAAGAAGAAAAAAGGCUAUGUGCCGCACGACCUGGGGGGAAGGAGGUCCUCUCUUCCUCCCAUUUCCUAUGGUUUCUCUUCUCUGGCCUGCUCCUUACAACUUGAGGAGAUCUGUAAGCCCCUUUUCUCCCAUUCUUUGUGGGUGUUUAUGCUCUUCCCUUUGUGGGUGUUCUGUUCUCCCCUUUUUGUGGCUAUUUUGUUCUCCCUUUUGUGGGUGUUUUGUUCAAGCUCUGCUUGAACUCUAAGGCUUUAUGCCUUUGGCUUCCUUUAAUUUCUCAGAUCCCCAUUUAUUUCUCAUCCACUGUAUUCAGUUGUCCCUUCCUCCAUCCAUUUCCUCUUAUCUCCCUCCCCCCCCCCACACUCCAUUCAAAUCCCUUCUCUAUGGUCUUGGUAUCGUCCAUUCGUACCAAAAUUUUCUCCUCUUUAUUGAUAUGGCUUCAUCUUGUGGCUGCUUCGGCUAGCCGAAAACGCGGCUUCUUGCGCACAACUCUGAAGAUGUGUAGAGUUCGAGCUUUUGCUCUUUCUCGGGUGCCUGCACCACCUCCUUCUACUAUGUUGAUUUGUGUUUGUUCUGGUGCUUUGUCAGGUUUGAUUUGGGAGGUGUGGUAGCUCUUCCCCUCAACUUGUCCCCUUGAUGUCGUCUCGUGCGGUGUUGGCGGCGGCUCGGUUGAAUUUUGGUUAGGGUUUGCUAGCUUUCUUGGCCUUGGUUUUUGCCUGUGGGCUUAAUGCGUUCCCGGUUUUAAGCUGCUUGUUGUUUUCUUUGUAUUUUAUUUGGGCCUUUGGCAUUUUUGUUUUGUUGUUGAGCCUAGUUGGUUGGGUUUCACUUUUUGUUGUAUUGUUAUACCCUUUUGUGGGUUUAUAAUGAAAACUACAUUCGAACAAAAGAAAAAAAAAAAAAGGAGUUACCCA